UACGUAGGUGGCAAGCGUUGUCCGGAAUUAUUGGGCGUAAAGCGCGCGCGGGCGGUUUGCUAAGUCCAUCUUAAAAGUGCGGGGCUUAACCCCGUGAUGGGAUGGAAACUGGCAGACUGGAGUAUCGGAGAGGAAAGCGGAAUUCCUAGUGUAGCGGUGAAAUGCGUAGAGAUUAGGAAGAACACCGGUGGCGAAGGCGGCUUUCUGGACGACAACUGACGCUGAGGCGCGAAAGCGUGGGGAGCAAACAGG
rnacentral:rRNA from 1 species